AUUACUCCCUAUGCCAAGGUGAUUGUAGAAACAUAUACUGAGAGAAAGCCCCCUUUGGCCUAGGGCCUUGUGUGGCCCUGAUGAGCAGAGACCCCCUGUAGACCCUUGCUGGAGAUGUAGCACAGGGAGGAAAAGAGACAGAAAGAGACAGAGAUUUAGAUUAUAUUAAGCCACUGAGAGUUUGGGGAAAUGUUUGUUUGUACAGCAUAACUUUGCCCAUU
rnacentral:lncRNA from 10 species